UGUCAUUUAGAGGAAGUAAAAGUCGUAACAAGGUUUCCGUAGGUGAACAUGCGGAAGGAUCAUUAUUGAAAUAAACCUGAUGGGUUGUUGCUGGCUCUCUAGGGAGCAUGUGCACGCCUUGUCAUCUUUAUAUCUCCACCUGUGCACCUUUUGUAGACCUUUCGGGGUCUAUGUUGCUUCAUUUUUCCACAAUGUAUGUUAAUAGAAUGUUGUGCCCUGUAUAAUAUAUACAACUUUCAGCAACGGAUCUCUUGGCUCUCGCAUCGAUGAAGAACGCAGCGAAAUGCGAUAAGUAAUGUGAAUUGCAGAAUUCAGUGAAUCAUCGAAUCUUUGAACGCACCUUGCGCUCCUUGGUAUUCCGAGGAGCAUGCCUGUUUGAGUGUCAUUAAUAUACAUAUAUCAAGCCUUCUCUUGUAGAAGGGUUUGGAUGUGGGGGUUUGCUGGCCUCUUAAUCUUAAGAGUUCAGCUCUCCUGAAAUGCAUUAGCAGAACAACCUUAUGUUCAUUGGUGUGAUAACUAUCUACGCUAUUGAAUGUUGAGGGGGAAGUUCGGCUUUCUAACGGUCCCUUGGACAACUCAUCAUUAAUGUGACCUCAAAUCAGGUAGGACUACCCGCUGAACUUAAGCAUAUCAAUAAGCGGAGGAAAAGAAACUAACAAGGAUUCCCCUAGUAACUGCGAGUGAAGCGGGAAAAGCUCAAAUUUAAAAUCUGGCGGUUUUUUUGGCCGUCCGAGUUGUAAUCUAGAGAAGUGUUAUCCGCGCUGGACCGUGUACAAGUCUCCUGGAAUGGAGCAUCAUAGAGGGUGAGAAUCCCGUCUUUGACAUGGACUGCCAGGGCUUUGUGAUGCGCUCUCAAAGAGUCGAGUUGUUUGGGAAUGCAGCUCAAAAUGGGUGGUAAUUUCCAUCUAAAGCUAAUAUUGGGCGAGAGACCGAUAGCGAACAGGUACCGUGAGGGAAAGAUGAAAGAACUU
rnacentral:rRNA from 1 species